AUUGAACGCUGGCGGCAGGCCUAACACAUGCAAGUCGAACGAGUGGCGGACGGGUGAGUAAUGUCUGGGAAACUGCCUGAUGGAGGGGGAUAACUACUGGAAACGGUAGCUAAUACCGCAUACCAUCAGAUGUGCCACGAUGGGAUUAGCUUGUUGUUGGGGGAAAGGCUGACCAAGGCGACGAUCCCUAGCUGGUCGGAGAGGAUGACCAGCCACACUGUAACUGAGACACGGUCCAGACUCCUACGGGAGGCAGCAGUGGGGAAGAUUGCACAAUGGGCGCAAGCCUGAGGCAGCCAUGCCGCGUGUAUGAAGAAGGCCUUCGGGUUGUAAAGUACGUUCAGCGGGGAGGCGUUACCCGCAGAAGAAGCACCGGCUAACUCCGUGCCAGCAGCCGCGGUAAUAC
rnacentral:rRNA from 1 species